rfam:Picea glauca, whole genome shotgun sequence.
GAGUGAGAUCAUAGCAGCGUUAAUGCACUGGAUCCCAUCUGAAAUUCGCAGUUAAGCGUGCUUGGGCUAGAGUAGUAGUGGAAUGGGUGACCUCCCGAGAAGUCCUAGUGUUGCACACU